rnacentral:lncRNA from 1 species
GCCCGCAGGAGUCAUCACUUACCUCUGUUUGACGGGAGUUUCCCCAUUCGCCGGAGAGAAUGACAGAGCCACGGCACUCAACAUCCGCAACUACAACGUGGCGUUUGAGGAGAGCAUGUUUUCUGACCUGUGCAAAGAGGCCAAGGGAUUUGUCAUCAAGCUGCUGGUGGUGGACAGAUUGAGACCCACUGCUGUUGAGUGCCUUCGCCAUCCCUGGUUCAAGGUAAGGUUCCCGCUUCAUGUGCCUCCCAUCAGUGUGCACAGUCU